CAGCACCUCAAGUGGUCAGGAUGAUUAUUGGGCCUAAAGCCUCCGUAGCCGGCUCUGUAAGUUUUCGGUUAAAUCUGUACGCUCAACGUACAGGCUGCCGGGAAUACUGCAGAGCUAGGGAGUGGGAGAGGUAGACGGUACUCGGUAGGAAGGGGUAAAAUCCUUUGAUCUAUUGAUGACCACCUGUGGCGAAGGCGGUCUACCAGAACACGUCCGACGGUGAGGGAUGAAAGCUGGGGGAGCAAACCGGAUUAGAUACCCGUGUAGUCC
rnacentral:rRNA from 1 species